rnacentral:rRNA from 1 species
AGUGAACGCUGGCGGUAGGCCUAACACAUGCAAGUCGAACGGCAGCACAGUAAGAGCUUGCUCUUACGGGUGGCGAGUGGCGGACGGGUGAGGAAUACAUCGGAAUCUACUUUUUCGUGGGGGAUAGCGUAGGGAAACUUACGCUAAUACCGCAUACGACCUACGGGUGAAAGCAGGGGAUCUUCGGACCUUGCGCGAUUGAAUGAGCCGAUGUCGGAUUAGCUAGUUGGCGGGGUAAAGGCCCACCAAGGCGACGAUCCGUAGCUGGUCUGAGAGGAUGAUCAGUCACACUGGAACUGAGACACGGUCCAGACUCCUACGGGAGGCAGCAGUGGGGAAUAUUGGACAAUGGGCGCAAGCCUGAUCCAGCCAUACCGCGUGGGUGAAGAAGGCCUUCGGGUUGUAAAGCCCUUUUGUUGGGAAAGAAAAGCAGCAGGUUAAUACCCCGCUGUUCUGACGGUACCCAAAGAAUAAGCACCGGCUAACUUCGUG